rnacentral:lncRNA from 1 species
UGUAUGUUUGUGCUAAGUUCAAGGGUAAUAUAGCAAUGAUGUAUGUUUGUGGUGAGUAUAAGGGUAAUAUAGCAAUGGUGUAUGUUUGUGGUGAGUGUAAGGGUAAUAUAGCAAUGGUGUAUGUAUGUGGUGAUUAUAAGGGUAAUAUAGCAAUAGUGUAUGUGGUGAGUGUAAGGGUAAUAUAGCAAUGGUGUAUGUGGUGAGUAUAAGGGUAAUAUAGCAAUGGUGUAUGUUUGUGUGAGUAUAAGGGUAAUAUAGCAAUGGUGUAUGUUUGUUGUGAGUAUAAGGGUAAUAUAGCAAUGGUAUAUUUGUGAUGAGUAUAAGGUAAUAUAGCAAUGGUGUAUGUUUGUGGUGAGUAUAAGGGUA